UAUGACCUCACAGAAAUGUAAAUGUUGUCAGGGCAGAGAACAUGUCUUUCCUAUUCAGCAUAGAUACCUUAUACAUAGUGUAGCUACUGAUGCAAUAGGUGCUCAGUAAAUGUCUGUAGGAUGGGUAAGUCACCAGCAGUGAAACUUUACUACCCUAUGAUAAUGGGACAUGAUGUGUUGGAACCAGAGAUCUUGUAGAACUCAAGACUUAGAAGAGGGAGAAAAGAAAAUGAGAAUCCAAUGGAGCCCAGCUUGAUAAGGGCAACACACCAAGUUUGAAGAUGAUCACCAGAAUGACAUCAAGUCAAGAGAUUAUCAUGCUUGUUGUAUCCACAUUCCAGGACCUCCAUUAACUCUCUGGACAUCAUCAGACACUGUGAAAAAUGCUGAAGACAGGACAAUAUGACCCUGAGCUGAGAAGAUUAAUAACCGCCAAUGUUUUAAUGCUGCUGAUCCUUCCUGACACUCCUCUCAUCUCUCCAUCAACAUUAUCCAAAGUUUUGUAGUGAUUUGAAGUUGUGCAGUGGUGCAAGUCUACCUGGAGUUCAGCAUUAGAGAACCCACAAUUGCUGUACCUAGCCACAUUCUCUUCUAUCAGCUCUAUCAGGAUAAAGCUAACAUUCAAUUGCCAUCUGCCUGACCACCUUGCCUUACCUCUCAAUGGGUUUAAACUUCAGUCAAUGGAUAAAGGAGAUGUGUAAGAAGAACUUAUUGUAUGUCUGGCACUGCACUAGAAAGGCACUAGAAAGGUGAGCCAAGCUGAUGAAGUUCUGGCCUCAUGGAACAUACACUCUUUGGAUUAAGAUCAUUUAUUCUACAGGCUGUACAAAUACCCACCAUUUGCUUCAACGUGGAUGGAACUGGAGGGUAUUAUGCUGAGUGAAGUUAUUGUGUGCAGAUGGCUUUGUUUUCACCCUUGGAGCAGGACACCAUGGCUAAACCACUGUCUGGUAAUUUCAUUGUCUCCAGGCCUCAUUUACAGCCUUGAAGAGAGUCAGAAUAGCCUUUGCUUACCCAUCCAAUAAUUAUGGUUGCUGUGCAUGACUGAAAGAAUGGCUAUUUUCUAAUGACAAGGUGGUUUGGUUCAGAGAAGACAAGCUGACAUAAUGACAUCAAGCAGAGGGACCAGAGUAUGCUGGGUGAUGUGUAGGCAAUCAAGUUAAGGUUUCUGAAUGAAAACUCAAUCUCCUUCAGAAAUUGCCUCAGCCACCCCAGUCUUCAGCAACCAUCACCCUGAUUAACUGGCAGCCAUCAAUAUCAAAGCAAGAUCCUCCACCAGCUAGAAGAUUAUGACUGGCUGAAAGCUCAGAUUCUUUCUUUGAACUAAAUGAUGUCAUGACUGUGAGAAAUGGAGCCUGUAUUUGGUGUAAUAAAGACAAACAAUCCUAGUGGCCUAUCCUCCCAAACAUGAAAUACUCCAUCCCAUGUCAUUUGUGUGGGAGUUUAUAACAAGUAG